GAUGAACGCUGGCGGCGUGCCUAAUACAUGCAAGUCGAGCGAACGGACGAGAAGCUUGCUUCUCUGAUGUUGGCGGCGGACGGGUGAGUAACACGUGGAUAACCUACCUAUAAGGCUGGGAUAACUUCGGGAAACCGUAGCUAAUACCGGAUAAUAUUUUGAACCGCAUGGUUCAAAAGUGAAAGACGGUCUUGCUGUCACUUAUAGAUGGAUCCGCGCUGCAUUAGCUAGUUGGUAAGGUAACGGCUUACCAAGGCAACGAUGCAUAGCCGACCUGAGAGGGUGAUCGGCCACACUGGAACUGAGACACGGUCCAGACUCCUACGGGAGGCAGCAGUAGGGAAUCUUCCGCAAUGGGCGAAAGCCUGACGGAGCAACGCCGCGUGAGUGAUGAAGGUCUUCGGAUCGUAAAACUCUGUUAUUAGGGAAGAACAUAUGUGUAAGUAACUGUGCACAUCUUGACGGUACCUAAUCAGAAAGCCACGGCUAACUACGUG
rnacentral:rRNA from 1 species